GAGUGCCACACAGACACCUGCAGAGUACUACUGGACAACAAGGGGCUCUCCAUCUGGCACUGUGCAUCAGGGAAUACAACACAUAGGGCACUCAACUCACCCUCUUUCCCCAUGAGUACUCUGAACCCAGGGAAAGGUCCUCAUCCGCCCCUGACGAGGAACUGCUCUGGUCAUCAUUCCGGCUCUUCUUGAAUAGUGAAUUUCCAGGGAAGCGCAACUGGUACUUGAAUCCGGUUCCCUGCGUCUGUCAGUCCAACAUCUUAGCCAUUCCAC